GGUUCUUUACCACUAGCACCACCUAGGAAGCCCACUAUAGAGCAAAUGAUUCUAAUGGUUAAUCUUACUAGCAAGGUACUACUGCUGCUGCUGCUGCUAAGUCGCUUCAGUCGUGUCCAACUCUGUGCGACCCCAUAGACGGCAGCCCGCCAGGCUCCCUCGUCCCUGGGAUUCUCCAGGAAUGAAGUGUUACACCCACAUCUCUAUCCUCAAGCUGCCAUCUUCAUGCCCAGAAGUAACCACUAUCCUAAUGAUGAAGCAGGGUAGAAAUAUAUGAAGUCCUCAUCGAAAUUAAUAAACAUUGCCUGUUGAGAUCUCAUAUGCCACUCAGCUGGCAAAUUAAGAUUGGUUCAAAAAUUUAUACAUCAAUUGAGGAUAAACUAAUGAGCUCUGUGUAUGAGGUUGUGUUUAUUUAAAUGGACUGAAUCCAACUCUUCCAUGUUACAAAUGUGCUUGCUACUUGGUCUUCAUAAAAAUAAAAACCACUGUGGUCCUAUGAAUACGAAUGGUAAUACUGUUUUGCACAAAGGAGUAUUAAACACAAUAAUAAACUACUACACAUUACUACCUACCAAUAUUUUAUUCAUUGCCAGAUAAAAUUACGAAGAAUAAUUCUAUUAUUGGCUUCAUAAAUGUAAUUUUAAGGUUUAAAAAAUGUUUUUAAUUGUUGUCUCUGACAUUUUUUUUUGCUUUUGUUAUUCUAUUCUGCUUUAUAUUUCCCACCAUUGAAAAAUGAUAAUACUCAGCUAUGUAAACUGUCUUUAUUAUGGUUUCAUCACUGGGACAUAUUCUAGGUAAUCUUACUACAAAAAAAUAUCCAAAUA